rnacentral:rRNA from 1 species
GGGUCAGUAGGUUGGUCGUGCCACCGGUACGUACUGGUCUCACUGAUUCCUCCUUCCUGAAGAACCGUAAUGACAUUAAUUUGGUGUUGCGUGGAAACAGGACUGUUACUUUGAAAAAAUUAGAGUGUUUAAAGCAAGCUAACGCUUGAAUACAUUAGCAUGGAAUAAUGAAAUAGGACGAUCGAUCCUAUUUUGUUGGUUUCUAGGAUUGACGUA